CGAACUCUUCAUCUUGUGAACUGACAGGUUCUGGAUCCUGGAACAACAUGCUGAAACUGGGUAAUAAAUCUCCUAAUGGAAUAAGUGACUAUCCAAAGAUCAGAGUGACAGUUACCCGAGAUCAGCCACGCAGAGUCCUGCCUUCCUUUGGUUUUACUUUGAACUCAGAAGGCUAUAAUAGAAGACCAGGUGGCCGUCGCCAUAGCAAAGGUAAUCCAGAGAGUUCUUUAAUGUGGAAACCUCAGGAACAGGCUGUAACAGAGAUGAUUUCUGAAGAGAGUGGCAAGGGUCUGAGGCGUCCCCAUUGUACUGUGGAGGAGGGUGUUCAAAAAGAGGAAAGAGAGAAGUACCGAAAGUUAUUGGAACGACUUAAAGAAAGUGGUCAUGGAAACUCUGUCUGUCCUGUAACUUCAAAUUAUCACAGUUCUCAAAGAAGUCAGAUGGACACAUUAAAGACCAAAGGCUGGGGGGAAGAGCAAAAUCACGGAGUCAAAACAACUCAGUUUGUUCCAAAACAAUAUAGACUUGUUGAAACAAGGGGACCUCUAUGUUCAUUGAGAAGUGAAAAGAGGUGUUCAAAGGGGAAAAUUACUGAUACAGAGAAGAUGGUCGGAAUCAGAUUUGAAAAUGAAAGUGUAAGUAAAAAUCCUAGUUACAUUUGAUAUCUGUUUACUUAUGUAACUUAUGUUUUGGUGCCCAUGAAAAGCAAGAAAAAGUAUAUAUAUAUAACUUUGAUUG
rnacentral:sRNA from 1 species